rfam:Capsicum annuum cultivar Zunla-1 unplaced genomic scaffold scaffold1688, whole genome shotgun sequence
AAUAAUCAAAUACGGUGGUCGGGAUAAGGAUCAAGUUAGUAAUUUUUCUUACAUCUCUCCCUUCCGAAGCCCAGAUAUCAUAUAUGCCGCCAAAACAAAAGGCCUUGAAUACUAGAAUAAAAGCAUCUAUACCUAACAAGAUUAAAUGAAUACCUAAAAUUGUGGUCAUUUUAUUUUGAUCUUUUUA